UGCCUACGGGAGGCAGCAGUGAGGAAUAUUGGUCAAUGGGCGCGAGCCUGAACCAGCCAAGUCGCGUGAGGGAAGACGGUCCUAUGGAUUGUAAACCUCUUUUGCCGGGGAGCAAGCUGGGUCACGUGUGACCCAGCUGAGAGUACCCGGAGAAAAAGCAUCGGCUAACUCCGUGCCAGCAGCCGCGGUAAUACGGAGGAUGCGAGCGUUAUCCGGAUUUAUUGGGUUUAAAGGGUGCGCAGGCGGACCAUCAAGUCAGCGGUAAAAUCGUGGGGCCCAACCCCAUCCCGCCGUUGAAACUGGCG
rnacentral:rRNA from 1 species